rnacentral:sRNA from 1 species
AGUAGCGUUGGGCUUAAAACCCGGAUGUUGAUAGCUUCCAUGAACUGAUCGCCAAGGGACUCUUUGUGAAAUUUUCAAAAGUCUUUGAUGUUCCGAGUGCAAUUGGGCGUCUUCAUGCAUGCGGUCAAGCUAUUCGGGGGAAUGAUGCUUGUAGACAUUAAAUCUGUCGUUGUGGACUGACACGUCUGACAGUCGCCAACAAAACAACAACCGAAAAGCCUUGUCCCGACAGAGCGUAGAGAGUCGUCAAAGCAAUUACAAUUGAACCUCGCAUUGCCCCGUAGACCAUUCUCCAAGGGACCAGAUGUUCCCGGGGUACCCUUCCUUUGUUGCGAAAACCCAUCCCAAGGCACAGC